GUCCACGCCGUAAACGAUGAGUGCUAGAUGCUAUGGGUAUUGACCCCCGUGGUGUCGUAGCUAACGCGUUAAGCACUCCGCCUGGGGAGUACGGUCGCAAGACUAAAACUCAAAGGAAUUGACGGGGGCCCGCACAAGCGGUGGAGCAUGUGGUUCAAUUCGACGCAACGCGCAGAACCUUACCUGGGUUAAAUCCACUCGAACCUGCCAGAGAUGGUGGGGUGCCCUUCUGGGGAGCGAGUGAGAAGGUGCUGCAUGGCUGUCGU
rnacentral:rRNA from 1 species